GUGGGGAAUAUUGGACAAUGGGCGAAAGCCUGAUCCAGCCAUGCCGCGUGAGUGAUGAAGGCCCUAGGGUUGUAAAGCUCUUUCACCGGGGAAGAUAAUGACGGUACCCGGAGAAGAAGCCCCGGCUAACUUCGUGCCAGCAGCCGCGGUAAUACGAAGGGGGCUAGCGUUGUUCGGAAUUACUGGGCGUAAAGCGCACGUAGGCGGAUCAGUCAGUUAGGGGUGAAAUCCCAGGGCUCAACCCUGGAACUGCCUUUAAUACUGCUGAUCUAGAGUUCGAGGGAGGUGAGUGGAAUUCCGAGUGUAGAGGUGAAAUUCGUAGAUAUUCGGAGGAACACCAGUGGCGAAGGCGGCUCACUGGCUCGAUACUGACGCUGAGGUGCGAAAGCGUGGGGAGCAAACAGGAUUAGAUACCCGAGUAGUCC
rnacentral:rRNA from 1 species